GCACUUUGGGAUAAGCCUGGGAAACUGGGUCUAAUACCGAAUACACCUUCCUGGUUGCAUGGCCUGGGGAGGGAAAGCUUUUGCGGUGUGGGAUGGGCCCCCGGCCUAUCAACUUGUUGGUGGGGUGAUGGCCUACCAAGGCGACCACCGGUAGCCGGCCUGAGAGGGUGUCCGGCCACACUGGGACUGAAAUACGGCCCAAACUCCUACGGGAGGCAGCAGUGGGGAAUAUUGCACAAUGGGCGCAAGCCUGAUGCAACGACCCCCCGUGAGGGAUGACCGCCUUCGGGUUGUAAACCUCUUUCCAACAUCGACAAACCCAAGUGACGGUAGAUGCAAAAGAAGCACCGGCCAACUACUUGCCAACCGCCGCGGUAAUUC
rnacentral:rRNA from 1 species